UACGAAGUGGGCUAGCGUUGCUCGGAAUCACUGGGCGUAAAGGGUGCGUAGGCGGGUCUUUAAGUCCGGGGUGAAAUCCUGGAGCUCAACUCCAGAACUGCCUUUGAUACUGAAGAUCUUGAGUCCGGGAGAGGUGAGUGGAACUGCGAGUGUAGAGGUGAAAUUCGUAGAUAUUCGCAAGAACACCAGUGGCGAAGGCGGCUCACUGGCCCGGUACUGACGCUGAGGCACGAAAGCGUGGGGAGCAAACAGG
rnacentral:rRNA from 1 species